rnacentral:lncRNA from 1 species
UCCUUAUGGAUAAGGGAUUUUUAAGGAAUUACUCAAACGCUUCAUGUUCUCUAAAGUAGAUUGUAAUUUAUAAGAUGUAUAGCCAAAUAUAUUUUUUCCUGAAAGGAAACUAGCUGCAAAUAUGGUUGGAAAGUGAUGUUACAGUAAUUUUUUGAAUGAAGGAAGGAGACGUGUUCGCACUUUACUUAGUUGGACUAAAUACUUAGAGAUGCACCAUGC